CCUUACGGACCGGCAGCUCUUGAAGUAGGAGGAUAUCUAUGUGAGAGGACUGCGCGGUUUCGAGG